rnacentral:misc_RNA from 1 species
AGGCCUUCACUGGAAUGUGAGUUUUGAGGAUGAUGUUUUUCAGGCGGGUGUUACAGUCCCAAUGGAUUUAGGGUAAUCUGGUUAUGUAAAAGCAGAUUUUGGAAGUCUUGAACAGCAUCUAGGUUUGACAUUAGAUGCUUCUAUUUUUUCGCCCUUCUCAGAUUAUUGAUUAAAUUAUGGAUCAUUGAAGAUACUCUCUACUUCAUUUUUUUUUUGGUAAUGUGGAAAUUUGUUGCUUCAUAAAGUAUGUCCAGUGAGUGGAUUAACACAUUUUUUGGUAAGAAAAACUAGGUAUUGGAUGAACAUGCAUUGUUUAGAGAGAUUCAUUUUUAUAUAUGUUGAUUAAAACACAU